UACGAAGGGGGGCUAGCGUUGCUCGGAAUUACUGGGCGUAAAGCGCGCGUAGGCGGCUUUGUAAGUUAGAGGUGAAAGCCCGGAGCUCAACUCCGGAACUGCCUUUAAAACUGCAUCGCUUGAAUCCAGGAGAGGUGAGUGGAAUUCCGAGUGUAGAGGUGAAAUUCGUAGAUAUUCGGAAGAACACCAGUGGCGAAGGCGGCUCACUGGACUGGUAUUGACGCUGAGGUGCGAAAGCGUGGGGAGCAAACAGG
rnacentral:rRNA from 1 species